GUGCAAGUCCUGCAUCCUCUGUGGGACCUCAGAGAAUGAUGACCAGCUCCUCUUCUGUGAUGACUGUGAUCGUGGCUACCACAUGUACUGUUUAAAUCCUCCUGUGGCUGAGCCUCCAGAAGGAAGUUGGAGUUGUCACUUAUGCUGGGAACUGCUCAAAGAAAAAGC